rnacentral:rRNA from 1 species
AUGGACGACAUCAUCGCGACAGGAUCGGCCGCGGCCGCCUCGUCUCCCGGUUUCGCCACCCAGGACGAGGUAGUCGACCUCAGCGGCGACAUGGAGGCCGAGCUCGGCUACGUCUACGGCGACGAUGCGCAGGAACCCGAGGAGGAGGACGAGGACGAGGUGGAGGAGGAGGAGCCGGCUCCUGUUCCGACGAAGGGGCGCCAGAAAAAGAAGCGGGCGGCGAGGUCGGGCGAGCCGCGCAUCAAAUGGACGUCCAAGGAGGCGGAAUGCCUCGCCGAAGCGUGGAAAGUCGUCUGCCUCGACCCGACCACCGGCGCGAACCAGAGCUUGGAGACGUACUGGGACCGCAUCAAGGCCGAGUUCGGCGAGCGGAAGCUCGUCGACCCCUACUUCAAAGGCGUCUACAUGCAGCGCGGGGCCAAGGCGAUGGCGAACCAUUGGGGGCAUAUCCAGUUGGCAUGCAACAAAUGGCACGGAAUCGUCGAGGAGGUGGCGGCUCGCCCGGAGAGCGGCGCCAGCGUUGAAGAUCAGCUGCUGCGCAUGUUCGCCAUGUUCCGGGGUGACAACCAAGACGCCGACUUCAAGCACCUCCACGUCUACAAGUGCAUUGACAAGUGCGAGAAGUGGGCGGAAGUCCGACGUGCCCUCGAUAAGGCCAAGGAGACGUACAAGCCGGACGCGCUGACUCCGGGUGCGUCGGAAGGGCAGCCGGACGGCCACAAAUUGGCCAAGAAGGGGAAGAACGCCGACGCGGCAACCGCGCGAGUGCAGGAGUCCAUCGAGCAUUGCCUCGCCGACGUCCAGGCCCGGGCCGUCCUACGCGAAGAGAAGACCGACGCGCGGUGGUCGGCGCUAAUGAAGAACAACGCCAUCAAGCUCGACCUGCUCCGGACGAACGUCGCCGCGAAGAAGAGGAACACCGACAUGGCUUUUCUGAUGGGUGCGGCGGACUUGCUUCAGAGCAACGACGAGAAGCUCAAGGCGUGGUACCUGGUUCAGCGCGGCCUCAUCCUGAACGAGCUGCCGAUGGCAACGCCCACGACGCCGACGACGCCCACAGCCGCACGGACGCCAAGCCCGAGCGAAGCCUCUACGUCGCCGCCCAGCAGUGUCGAAGCCGCGCCGACGCAGCCCACCACCGAAGCAGCUCCGACACCGCCGAGCCCGCGCACGCCGACUCCGCCAACACCUGGGACCAACCCCGCCGAGUGA